rnacentral:lncRNA from 1 species
CUAAUAGUGCCACUCCCUGGGCCAAGCAUUUCAAAUGACCACACCUUCCAGGACAUCCCUCAGCCCCAGCACACAGAGAUGGUUUGCCUUUACACGUGGAGACCCCGGAAGAAAAGCCAAUGGUGAUAGGGGCAGAGUGGAUGAGCUUCACAAGAGUGUCCUCACACCCGAGGUGCUGCGAAGUCCUCUGGGUGUCAGCGCACAGCAGGGAGGUGGCAAACAGGGAGGAAGUGACAGAUUGUGCCCUUUGUUCUCAGAGCAUCCUUGGAGUAUCCACAGAAAGGAGCUGGAGGACACCACAAGCUGA